UGGGGAAUAUUGCACAAUGGGGGAAACCCUGAUGCAGCGACGCCGCGUGAGCGAAGAAGGUUUUCGAAUCGUAAAGCUCUGUCCUAUGAGAAGAUAAUGACGGUAUCAUAGGAGGAAGCCCCGGCUAAAUACGUGCCAGCAGCCGCGGUAAUACGUAUGGGGCGAGCGUUGUCCGGAAUUAUUGGGCGUAAAGGGUACGUAGGCGGUCUAUUAAGUCAGGUGUGAAAGCGUGAGGCUUAACCUCAUUAAGCACUUGAAACUGAUAGACUUGAGUGAAGGAGAGGAAAGUGGAAUUCCUAGUGUAGCGGUGAAAUGCGUAGAUAUUAGGAGGAAUACCGGUGGCGAAGGCGACUUUCUGGACUUUUACUGACGCUCAGGUACGAAAGCGUAGGGAGCAAACAGG
rnacentral:rRNA from 1 species